rnacentral:lncRNA from 1 species
UACAUUAUGACUCCGUAAAGUUAUGAUGGAACACGAAAUAGCAUGAAAAAUAAGUCUUAAAGUAAAAUGGAUUAGUUUAAAAUGAAAAUGUUCAAGAGUUUAACAUCACUGAUAUAACUUUUCAAUAUCUACUUUAUCAAAUUAUUAUAAAUGUAUACUGGAAGAAGGAUUGCUCGAGAUACUUUUUUCUACAAAUUAAAUGGACUACAUAAUUACAAAGAUCUGUAUUUUAUCUUUUUGAACAAUACAUAAUGUAUAUAGUACUAAAAGACAAUACAUAGAACUAAAGUAAAGGAAAGAAGAGCGCAUAUCCAUGUUGGAGAUAAAGUUUUUGCUGAACAUCGUAUGUUUCUCAUGUUGAUCCGCACAUUUUCCAGGCCGCUUGUUUGAUCGCUCUUCUUUUUCUACGUUAACACAAUCGGAUUUUUCUUCUUAACGAUUGUAUUUUGCUCUUGUCUGAUAGCUAAAGUUUUACAUAGUAAAGUCAGAAUUUAGAUAAUGUUCUGCAUUUCGCGUCGUGAAAUCGUCUAUAUUUCACGACAAGAAACUCCGGAAACAAGUGGAAAUACCACGCAAAGAUGUAACGUAGAGUGCUCUGUCGCAGCGGAAAUCGUAGGGAGAAGGAAAGGCGUUGCAGCAACUUACAGACAACCAUUAUAUAACGGAAAAUGCCAAUAACUCUUCAGUAAUGUUAUCAAACGUUUGAACAUGAAAGUCAUCAAUCUUUGCUAUAAUAACGAUAUUUGAGUAGAAGUGAUAGGAUCAAGGCAUCGAUAUGAAUUUGAAGAAAAAUCAGAGGUGAACGAACGAAAGUAGGACUAUAGAUGUAAAGAAGGUACAAAGAGAAGUACGAUACGUGAAAUGAAGCUAUCGGCUGGCAAAUGGUGUGCUACGUGGUAUCGAGGGAGGUUAGUCAGGGUGGCUGGUUGGUGAUGCAUUGCGCGAACUCCCCGCGGCAAGGUCACGUGACUCGUCCCCUCGGCCUAUCAUUGAUCGUUCCCCGGAGAAGCGUUGGACACACCGUUGUCGUAUCAGCGCACGUCGUCCAUGUCCAUACUACUACACUUUAGAAUAUAGAUAUUCGUAUGAGUGAAUAGAAAACGGACGCAAGCGAAAGAUAUACACAUCCAUUACCAUCAGCAUGCAAAUUAGAUUGGAGAUUAGUGAAAAUCCUUUCGUAACAAUUCUCGGGACCACGGACGGAAUGAGGAAAGACUGAACUGUGGAAACGAGUAGCAGUAGCCCUUCUGUACUCGACGUUAGCGGUGGGCUGAAUCAAGAAGAUCGAGAGAGGAAAGUGGCGAGAAAGUCGUACAGACGUACA